rnacentral:rRNA from 1 species
UACGUAGGGUGCAAGCGUUAUCCGGAAUUAUUGGGCGUAAAGAGCUCGUAGGCGGUUUGUCGCGUCUGCUGUGAAAACUGGAGGCUCAACCUCCAGCCUGCAGUGGGUACGGGCAAACUAGAGUGCGGUAGGGGAGAUUGGAAUUCCUGGUGUAGCGGUGGAAUGCGCAGAUAUCAGGAGGAACACCGAUGGCGAAGGCGGCAUCCUGGACCGGCAUUGACGCUGAGGAGCGAAAGCUAGGGGAGCAAACAGG